rnacentral:misc_RNA from 1 species
GGGCGAUACAGAAAACUAAGACCGGGCUUCUAGUCUGGCGACACUCCGACGGAGCGAGUCUCCAGUUUGACGUUUUGACGCCCGGCGGCUCGACCAGGCUGACUAUCAAUACCGAGAGGCAAUGCCGAGAUCAGAGCCCCAAAAAGCCUUCGCGAAGGCUGCAGACGAGCACCGGCAUUGGGAUGAUUCCGGAUGGAAUCACCAUGACGAUGCGGCGUGUGA